rnacentral:snoRNA from 2 species
UCUCUGUGAUGAUGAAAACAGAUGACGAGUUUGAUGUAGUCCAUUCUAUUAAACCAUGUUGACAAUCGAGGCAUUUGUCUGAGAGAG